rnacentral:rRNA from 1 species
AUUGAACGCUGGCGGCAGGCCUAACACAUGCAAGUCGAACGGUAGCACAGAGAGCUUGCUCUCGGGUGACGAGUGGCGGACGGGUGAGUAACGUCUGGGAAACUGCCCGAUGGAGGGGGAUAACUACUGGAAACGGUAGCUAAUACCGCAUAACGUCGCAAGACCAAAGUGGGGGACCUUCGGGCCUCACACCAUCGGAUGUGCCCAGAUGGGAUUAGCUAGUAGGUGGGGUAAUGGCUCACCUAGGCGACGAUCCCUAGCUGGUCUGAGAGGAUGACCAGCCACACUGGAACUGAGACACGGUCCAGACUCCUACGGGAGGCAGCAGUGGGGAAUAUUGCACAAUGGGCGCAAGCCUGAUGCAGCCAUGCCGCGUGUAUGAAGUAGGCCUUCGGGUUGUAAAGUACUUUCAGCGGGGAGGAAGGCGGUGAAGUUAAUAACUUCACCGAUUGACGUUACCCGCAGAAGAAGCACCGGCUAACUCCGUGCCAGCCGCCGCAGUAA